rnacentral:lncRNA from 1 species
UUAAUUUAUAUUUUAUAUAUAAAUAAAUAAUUAUAUAUAAUAUAUAUUUUUAUUAUUUAAUUUUUAGCAAAAUAAAAAUAUAAAUGCAAGCUUAAUUAUAAAAAGACUCAUUUAUAUAUAAAGUUUCAACUAUGAGAUUAAAGUCUAAUAGAUAAGAUUUUAUAAAUUUAUUUUUUAUAUAUAUUAAAUCUAAUCCGUUUUAACUUAUUGUUCGUUGGCCAGCUCAUGAGCCAGCUCAUGUUCGGCUCGUUUAUUAACAAGCCGAACACGAGCUGAAUUUUUCGGCUCGAUACUUUAACGAGCCAGUUCGUAUUCGGCUCGUUUACACCCCUAGUGAUACGUGCUGUCUAUUUUUUGGAUACCUCUUAUUUACAUUCCAUUUUGUUAUUGGGUAUAAGAUCAAAUUCAUUUGGAUAUGACUGUUGGCUUAAAUAGGCCAGCAUCCUGUUUUGUGGCGGGAGGCCAUAUGGGUCGAGUCUUAUUCGAAAUGGCGUGAUGCUGGGUUGGGCCGAGUUAUAUUUGAAGUGGCGUGAGGCUGGUUGGGCCGAGUUACAAUCGAGACCCGUGGGCAUUGUAUUUAUACGCUUUAAGACUCCAUUUGGUAACGGAAUAACUGCAGAAUAAUCAAAUUUAUUCUCGUUAUUAUGCCAAACGGAAAAAAAAAAUACCGGAAUAAUUUAUACCGGUCAAAACAGGUUAUUCCAAUUUUCACUGGAAUAAUCCGUUAAUUUUAUUCUUUCCCAACCAUGGAAUAAGGUUUAUUCCUGGAACCCGAGGGGCAGCAAGGCCUUCUCGGCGCCACUUUACCCACCUACCAAAGCUCUCAUCUCUUUUCCGAAUGCCAAGUACGUAGAGAUUUGGUUAGUCCAAUAUAUUUAUAUUAGAAUUUUUGUUUAACUAUGUGAAAUGAUUGACAGCUAAAUAAAUUAGAUACUAUUGCAUAUAUUAUUGAUUUCUAAUUGUAUAAAUUAAUUUAAAAUUAUCUUACUUACUGCAUAUUGCAUUGCUCAGUAGAAAAAUAUUAUUAUUUUUUAAUUAUAAUUUUUGUAUUGUAAUUAUAUUUGAAAAAAUUAUAUUAAAAUUUAUCAAGUAUUGUAUAUGUAUUAUACAAAGAAAAAAAUUCACGGUAUAUACAAGGGCAAACUUGGUAUUUUUAAAUAUUUCAAUCAACUUUACUAACUAUUUUUCUUUUCUUUCAAGAAAGUUAUCAAACAUCAUUUUAUCUAUUGCAGAGAAUAAGUAAAAAUUUUGCUAAACAAAAAAUUAUUUUCAAUCCUCUCUAUCAUAGAAUAUUGAGAUAUUCUAGGAAUAAAAAAAAUUUAACCCUGCAAAAAUUAUUCUGUUACCAAACACGCCCAAGUGAAUUGGUUUCGUAUUUCUAACCGCUCAAGAUUUUGACUAUAUUUUCAAAUCUAGCACGUAAUUUUUCAGUAAUAAUAUUGAUAAUAUUAACGUAACUGUUUCUAGAAGGAGAGUAAUUUUGGAUUGUUGA